rnacentral:rRNA from 1 species
AUUGAACGCUGGCGGCAUGCCUUACACAUGCAAGUCGAACGGUAACAGGUCUUCGGAUGCUGACGAGUGGCGAACGGGUGAGUAAUACAUCGGAACGUGCCCGAUCGUGGGGGAUAACGAGGCGAAAGCUUUGCUAAUACCGCAUACGAUCUACGGAUGAAAGCGGGGGAUCUUCGGACCUCGUGCGGACGGAGCGGCCGAUGGCAGAUUAGGUAGUUGGUGGGAUAAAAGCUUACCAAGCCGACGAUCUGUAGCUGGUCUGAGAGGAUGAUCAGCCACACUGGGACUGAGACACGGCCCAGACUCCUACGGGAGGCAGCAGUGGGGAAUUUUGGACAAUGGGCGAAAGCCUGAUCCAGCCAUGCCGCGUGCAGGAUGAAGGCCUUCGGGUUGUAAACUGCUUUUGUACGGAACGAAAAGCCUCUUUCUAAUAAAGAGGGGUCAUGACGGUACCGUAAGAAUAAGCACCGGCUAACUACGUGCCAGCCGCCGCGGUAA